rnacentral:lncRNA from 1 species
UUAAGGUUUAAGGGUAGUUUAAUAUUGUGCAUAUUUUGGAUGAAAAAUAUGCAAGUUGCUUAAGAAAUUUUUAAUUAAGUUGCUACCCAUACAAAUGUGUGAUUAAGUAUACUGAGUUUAAAUUGUUGCUAGAAAAGUUUGUCGUGGAGGCGUGCCGAACGAAGUAUGUGACCGACAAAUAGGAAUAAUUAUAUACGCGUACGAAUCAAUAGUGAAGUAAUAUCCCACUAUUAUGAGGUGAGUAGGGGGUGUCAAUUUUAAAAAUUUCAUAUAUAUAUACAUGUACGUAUAUUUUACGUGAAGUGCCAAAUUUAUGGAAAACAUGCGUUGAUAGAAUUUUAAGAAAUUGCGAGUGUAAUUUAUUUUUAGAAAUCAUUUGAAAUAUAUAUGUAUAUUAGACGUAAAUUGUUUUAAACCGGGAAACAAGCUUUUCGAAAAGAUUUACAUCAAAGGAAAUUGUGCCUUAUUGUUUGUGUGGUGUGCAUUCAUGAAAUUUAUUACAUAUUCACCAUGUUAUUUUGAUACAAAAUAUCAUGCAAAUAUUUACAAUGAACAUUUUACGAAAAGAAAGUUUUAACGUGAUGUGGGGACUGAUAUUUUGAGAAAGAUUUAAAAUAUCCCCUUGAAGAUCAAAUUUAAAUUCUUUUAAAAGGUGAUUUCAUUUUAACAAAGAAAUUCAAGAGUAAUUGGAGACUGCUACUUAUUGUGUUAUAAAUUAUAUUUUGAAUUGAAUAGGUUAUGAUAAUAUUGGCAUGAAUGGUUGAUUUGGUAAAUGUGCUGAAAAAGUAUGUACUGUUGAUUUUCCUUGAGAGGUUGUAAAAUAAAACAAUUGCCAUGUCAUGCUGUUGAAUUUUAUUGAAUUGGUAGGUUAUUGAUUAGUCGCUGCAGUGGACGGGUUCCGUGGACUAGCCUAUUAGAGGGGCACGGUAACCCUAUUAUAUUCAUACGUCAGUAUGAGAGGCGCGGUUGGAUAACUCCUGAGGUUAAAACUUUAGAGUUCACUUCACGCCAAACCACCACGUGAGGGUGAACUCAGCCAACGCCAAGGAACGACUAUGUUUUCAAAAUAAAAAUAUGAUUUAUGCGUACAUGACUUUUUAACAGCCUUGGCGGAUUCGGUUGGGAUAGCCCCAAGCCAAGGUAUCCCUGACAACCGAGUAUGAAAAUGAUUUUGGCACAAGCUAAGUUUUUAAGAAAGUCAUAAGCCAUGUUGCUUAUUUUUGACAAAAAUGUAAUGGUUUUAUAUGAGUUGAAAUAAGUUUUAAUAUUAUGAAUUAUAUUUCUCUGCAUGGUGAAAGUGGAAUUAAACUGUUUUCGUAGCUCCCCUAUUUGUUUAUCUGUGAAAUGGAUCUGUAAUUCCUCGCAUAUGGGGCGAGUUUUGAUUUGGGCAUGAUUUUAAAUAUUAUUUGGUUUCGCGUGGAGCUUGCUAAAUUUUAUUGAUUUGAUUUGAAAAUGUUUAUUAAUAUAUUUUGAUGUGAAAAAUUUUAUUACCUCGAUUAUUUAUACUUUAUAAGAAAUUCUCGAUUUUUAUAUAAGGCACAAACCCUCGUUUGAAACGAGUUGCUUUGAUAAUCUUGCAUUUUUAUAUUCAACUGAUCUACCGUUUGCUUGUUUCCCAUCUACGCCCUACUCGCUAAGUUGAUGAUUAUCACUGAGUUUAUAAGACUCACACCCUUUUAUUUCCCCUUUUGCAGAUAGGGAUCAGCCUAGCGUG